rnacentral:rRNA from 1 species
UCGGGAAUUUUGGGCAAUGGGCGAAAGCCUGACCCAGCAACGCCGCGUGAGGGAUGAAGUAUUUCGGUAUGUAAACCUCGAAAGAAUGGGAAGAAUAAAUGACGGUACCAUUUAUAAGCUCCGGCUAACUACGUGCCAGCAGCCGCGGUAAUACGUAGGGAGCAAGCGUUGUUCGGAUUUACUGGGCGUAAAGGGCGCGUAGGCGGCGCGGUAAGUCACUUGUGAAAUCUCUGAGCUUAACUCAGAACGGCCAGGUGAUACUGCUGUGCUAGAGUGCGGAAGGGGCAACCGGAAUUCUUGGUGGAGCGGUGAAAUGCGUAGAUAUCAAGAGGAACACCUGAGGCGAAGGCGGGUUGCUGGGCCGACACUGACGCUGAUGCGCGAAAGCCAGGGGAGCAAACG